rnacentral:tRNA from 1 species
GAGGGUAUAGCUCAGUGGUCAGGUGUGUGCUUAGCAUGCACAAGGUCCUGGGUUCAAUCCCCAGUACCUCCA